rnacentral:rRNA from 1 species
GUGUUUGGUGUCUUCAACACUGGGCUUUAAAUCUAACUCAUUACGUUGCCCGCGUGGGGAGUUCUGCCGCAAGUUUAAAACUCUAAUGAAAUGACGGGGGCGCGCACAAGCGGUGGAGCAUGUGGUUUAUUUCGAUGCAACGCGAAGAACCUUACCUCCUCUUGACAUCCACUGAAGAGACCAGAGAUGGACUUGUGCCUUAGGGAUCUGUGAGACAGGUGCUGCAUGGC